GGGUGCUAGGAGUGGUCCGGCGCAGGCACCACCACCGUUUCCUGUGCAGGGUCCUCUGCGCAAAUCUGAUGGAUUUGGAAAUGGAAACCCAUCACAUAAACAUCAUCAAUCGCACUCCCAAAAAGCUGGUCCUAAGCGAAAUGGCCCAGCAAAUGGUGUACCACCCUUUCCUGUACCCUUGCCUUACCACCAGCCGCCAGGUCAACUGAUGCUUUACCCUGCUGUACAACCACCGCCUAUAAUGGUUCAUGAUUAUGCUUAUCAGACUUGCCCUACACCAUUUCCUAAUUGUGAACCUCGUGUUGUGAAAUCUGGAUGUGAAACUCCCAUGCCACCUUUUCUUUCAGCUGGUCAAGCUGUUGGAACUGACAGUAACAGAAAUUAUCAGCCACCACCACGAGGUGAUCCAAAGAAUUGGCGCCCCAAUACAGGCAAUCAUAUGAACAGGCUACAUAAUGGUCAAGAAUCUGGUGUUCAUUUUAGUCAAACAUGGCGCAACCAACGUGCAUUUGGUCCCCGGGACAGCAUACCUAUGCCACCUGGUAUCGGACCCAGAACUUUCAUAAGGCCAGUUCCACAAUUUUUCGGUCCGGCACCAGGUUUCAUUAAUGGCCCUGGUUUUCCAUGUCCUCCUCCUCCUCCCCCAAUGUGUUUUGUUCCUGCUGCUCCUAUGGAAAUGAUGAGAGGUCCUCCUCGUUAUGUUCAACAUCCUCUCCAUCCUGCAUAUCCAGUUCUGCCACCGGAGGCUUUAGAUUUGAGAGCGGAUAUUAAUAGGCAAAUUGAGUACUAUUUCAGUGACGAAAAUUUGCA
rnacentral:misc_RNA from 1 species